AGUGGUAAAGUUGUUGAAUUCGUUGCUAAUAUUUUGCAUUAGCGACGACUUUAUAAAUUUUUCCGCUAACAUGCUUAAAAAUUUAAAACCCUUGCGCUUUUCCUCGACGUCGCCGUGUACACAACCUCCUCCGCUUCUUCUCCUUUCCCUCACCUCUCCUCUUCAGGUUAGAAGAGGAGAGCCUCCUCUCCACUUCAUCACCACCAUUCGGCCACCUCCUCUCCUCUUUGGAUUAAAAGAGGGAAAACCAGCAGCCACCUUCGGAGAGCAUCAUUUCCAUCACCGACUCCACAUCCACAACCCCUUCUUCUCUUCGGGUUAGAAGAGAAGAGGAGCUCCUUCAUCAUCCAUCCAUCUAUCUCUUCGGGUUAGAAGAAGGAAGACUCGAUCGCUCGCUCCAUCUAUCUCCGACAGUCCACCUCUUUGGGUUAGAAGAGGAGGAUUCGUCAUUCAUUCUGAUCCGCAUAUGACAGCCCUUCUUCCCACUCCUCUUCGGGUUAAAAGAGUAGUGGGCAUCCACUUUAUCUUCCAACAACCCCUCUUCUCUUCAGGUUAAAAGAGAAGAGGUCCUCCUUCAUCCAUGCUUCAAUUAGCCCCUUUCGAUACUCCAUCUGCAAUUGUGUCCGUUCACUCCCGUAAGCUUGGGUGAUGUCUUUAUGUGUUGAGUGCUGAUUAUUGAUGUGUUGAUGGUUUAUUAAUGUUGAGUUGAUUGUUGAAUUGUAAUGCCAUUAACCUUCUAUGUUUCAACUUGCAUGCUUUAGGCUUGAAUUGGUAGAUGCAUAUUAGAUGUUCGAUGAAAUUUCCCAACCACUUUUGCUCCUACAUUUGUUGCAAUUAUGCUAGUUUAAUUUUAUGCAAUUCUUGUUUGUUGAUGCAUAUUUGUUCUUGUGAUUAAGUUAGAUGAAGUAUGUUAGAUUAGAUUAGGUUUUUGUUGAAUGCUUUAGGAUUGUUAUUCAUUAGGUUUAGUUUAAUACUUGCUUUGCUAUUCAUUACUUGCAUUGUCUUUUAUUCAUUAGGUUUAAUUUAAUACUUGCUUUGCUAUUUAUUAAUUCACAUCAUCAAUAGAUUUUUCUAUAAUGAUUAACCAUAUUAUAUUAAGAAGAAAGCAUCGUCACUUAGAUUGGAGAGACUUAGAUUCAGUUGAAGCAAAUCAUAGCUUUUGAUAACCAUUAGGUUUUUGAAACAAUUUGUAACUUGUUUUUUUGUUUAUUUUCUUGACUUUUAACUUUAAGUUCUCACUGACAAAAAAUUCAUGGAAGAACCUAAUCGAUAAUCCAUAGAACUGGUGGGACUACAUAUCAACGAAGCCAAACGAGAAAUAUCCUGAUUUUGAGCACAAGCAGAUUGAUGAAACUUUGUGGCGUAGUACUUGGAGCACUCCUGAAUGGGUUUCGUCGAAGUUGCCCCCAGCUGAGACAACGUCGUAGGCAGAAAUGUUUUGUUUUAAACUUUUGGUGGACAUAUUGAUUCAAAUGUUAUAAUUCUCCGUCGUAUAGUAAGUUCUUUGGAUGUGAAUUUGAAGGUGUGAUUGUUAUUUGUUGCAUUACUUGUUGUUCGAAUUGUGAAUUUGUUACUUGCGGAUAGAGUUGUGUUAUUUAUUUGUUGUGUUGUUAUUAGAGUGGUAGGAGUUGUUUGUGAAUGUUGUUAGAGUUGUGAAUGCUUUGUGAACUUGAUGAUGUUGAAAUAUGAGUUAUUUGUGAGUUUGUUUA